UGGGGAAUAUUGCACAAUGGGCGAAAGCCUGAUGCAGCGACGCCGCGUGAGGGAUGACGGCCUUCGGGUUGUAAACCUCUCUCAGCAGGGACGAAGCGCAAGUGACGGUACCUGCAGAAGAAGCACCGGCUAACUACGUGCCAGCAGCCGCGGUAAUACGUAGGGUGCAAGCGUUGUCCGGAAUUACUGGGCGUAAAGAGUUCGUAGGCGGUUUGUCGCGUCGUUUGUGAAAACCAGCAGCUCAACUGCUGGCUUGCAGGCGAUACGGGCAGACUUGAGUACUGCAGGGGAGACUGGAAUUCCUGGUGUAGCGGCGAAAUGCGCAGAUAUCAGGAGGAACACCGGUGGCGAAGGCGGGUCUCUGGGCAGUAACUGACGCUGAGGAACGAAAGCGUGGGUAGCGAACAGG
rnacentral:rRNA from 1 species